rnacentral:lncRNA from 1 species
CUCUACAGAUCCCCAACUCCCAGCAUCAUCCUUCUACAGAAGAAAGAACCAAAAAGAAACAAAAAAAUUGAAAGCAAGAGGAGAAGGAAAAAAAAAGGCCAUAUUGUUUGUUUGCAGGAAAUGGUACAUACGUCGAUUCGAGCAAUGCCGGCUCCACUGCUUCCUCUUGAAACUCAAUCAUAAUCCAAGUAAACAAUCAAUUCAAGGAAGCCUCACCCGUCCAUUUUACAUGAUUUUGCCUUCCGUCCACCACCAUUAUCAUAAGCAUAAAUCUUAAAUUUGAGAAACGCCCUGAACACAUACACCAGCUGAUAGGCAGUGGCUGCUGGUAACAUACCAAGUUUGUGCCCGCUUGCAUUAUAGAAAGUAAUCAGGUGUUCUCCGGGUCACAUCUGGCUCUCCUCUUCUUGGGGCAGGCUCAAACUGCAAAUAUAGAAAUUUCUUAAGAUUUAGCAAGUGCAACAAUCCGCAUGCCAUCUAGGAUUUUGAACCAUGUGUUGGGAAAACAAAGAGAGAGAUAUCAACCUGAAUGAAUGUGUGGCCCUUGCAGUCGUCAACUUCCAAGAUGGACGCCAUGUUCCCACAGCGAUAACAGUAAUUGGGUGCACUAAAUAUGGUAACCACCUUUUGUUCCUGUCAAAGAUAUGCAGAACGUGGUUUAAAAAAGAAAAAAAGAAAACCACCAAUCCAAAAAGAGAGAACGCCACAUCAGCUUUAAAACAGGAGGUAUUUACAUGACCCCAGUUGUAUCCUUCCAUAACCAGCUGGUGAGCCCUAGCAAUCAGCUUUAAGUUAUUUGUAUGAUUAAAUUGCUCUGAUAUGUCCUGCAACAAGAAGAAAAUAAGCAACAAAAACAGUUUUCUGAAUGGGUAACAUAGAAUGACGAAAGGAAAGAGCAAUUGUAUUUACUUGGCCAAAGGUAUAUCCAGCACCCCUUGGCGAUAUACCCCAACCACAACGAUCAUCUGGAUCAGACCAUAAAAGAUCACACAUGGGACCCUCAUGGGGAACUUCUUGAACACGGUCAAAAUUACGAAUGUUAUCGAGAGUCUCAAUGGACGGAGACAAUCCACCAUGGAGACAAAAUAUUUCUGAUUCAACCUUCAAAACAGAAAAAACUACAUAUAAUAAUGGAAAACUACAAAUAUAAACUAAAACAAUGGCAGAGCAAUUAAAAUAUUUAAUUUUCACUUAUCAAGCUUGAGGAUCAGGUAAGGUAGUAGUUGGGGAAAUAAAAAAAUAUAAAUCAGCAUUCUCAACACUCAACAUGAAAAUGAAAUGGAGGAUAUUGGAAAAUAAACAGAUUGGGUUUAAGCUGGUUGUAGAGGGUGUUCUAGCAGAGAGGACAGAGUGGAGUGCUUUACAGGUUCUAAAUCAUUGACCAUGAUGGCAAUGAUGAUAAAUGGGGUUGUGUAGCAGCAGUACUGGUCUGUCGUGAGUACAAUAGUGCAACCACAGUGACAAUUGACACUCAGGUAACUCGUGCUUGCCUGGCACUAGCUAAAAAACUGAUAAAAUAAGACAGUCCUACAUGACUGGAAAAAAAAUAAAUAAAAUACUAUCUCAGAUCAACAAUGAAUUAUCACAUCUUUAGGGGUUUCCAAACUAGGACUCUCAUCUGAAAUGGAUAUGAAUAUUCAAAUGGCCAUCCUCUAAUAUCCCCCACCUCCCAACGCCCCUUUUCUGUGGGCCCAGGAAUACCCUUUUUUUUUCUUUUUUCAUUUUAGACAUAAAACAAAAGAAACAAAUAAAGUCAUACUAACCAAUGCUGUCAGUGGAAAAUAGUCAAAUAAAUCUGUGAAUAUCUUCCAAACAUUUGCAUUGCCGUACCUGCAAAUAAAAGCAAGAGAUGAAUAUCUAAACGAACAGCAAGCACGGAUAAAUAUAGAAGAAACUUUACUGAACCAAGAAAAAAAGAGUUACUCUUCAGACGUGAAAGAAUAUUGAGUAGAAUUACAUAAAAUACAGUAGUCAUUUCUUAAGGGUAAACUAUACUCUUAUUCUUCAUGUGCAUCAACCCAACAACGGUCCGCAGACUAUUUCCCAAUCCAAUGUUACAAAAUAUGUCUUCACUGCAAUAAACCGAAUUUUGUCUUCGUAGUUAUUUCGCCACAUUUUUCAGAAUAAAUGUGGCAUAUAAUCAUUUUUAUAUGUUCAUUGCAAAUCCAUGUAUACACAUGAAUAGAUAUGCUCUGAGUGUAUAGAAUAUUUGACAGAUGACUGACAACCUUUAUAAAUGUUGAAGCAUGACCCUUGUGUCCCUUUAUAGAAACAAUAGACCUUUCAAUUGCAUGUUCUGGGGAAAUUUGAACCAAUCACUACAGCCAAUCCUUAAUAUGUUUACUUUUUUUCUUCAGCAUCUAUUUGAAAUGACUGCCAGCACCAGUUAUUGGUAUCGAUGCCCAUGUUCAUGAAUCAGAAAUUGAAUAAUUUAAAAUAAAACCACAUUGACUGACUAGCUACAACUGUUCCAUCAAUUCAUUAGAUCUAUCUGAGAGCAGAUGAAAGCCUAGAGAUAAUCGCACCAAGACCUUGAAUAGAAGAAAAGCAUGUUGUCUGACACAGUCAAUAUUACAAUUGUGAGGAUAAAAUUUCCAAUCAAGGUCCCAAGCUACAAAAAUUCUUUGUUCCAAUCAAAAGAUGAACCUUAGAAACCAAGGAUUCCAGGAAACUCACUUCCUAAGGCACUCAUCAUAGAAUCCAUAGACCUGAGUGAUCUGCAGAAGGAAACACAAUGCCAUAAUCAGCUAAUGCUGAUAAAGUUUUAGAGAUAAAAGACUGAGAAUCACAAGUUUCAAGUGCAAGCAGACAUUUCAAAACCUGUAUAAGGGCGCACAGAGAAGGCACCACUUAAACAGAAUCACUAACUAUAGUUCUUUGAUUACUACCUAUUAUUUUAAGAAAUCUGAAAUAUGAGGAGAACAAUUAUAUCAACUUUGACAAGCACUUCCAGAAAGCAUAUCUAAAAUAAAAUAUGAAGGAUACCUGACGACUUUCAUGAUUCCCCCUUAGAAUAGUAAUCCUUUGAGGAUAACGCACUUUCAGAGCUACCAAUAGCUGGAGAAAAAGGGAGGGAAAAAAAACAUUCAGAAACAUAAUAUAAUGCCCCAGCCAUAAACCACAAAACCUAAACUAAAUCCAAAGUGAUUGAUAAUUCGGAAAAUGAGAAGCUUCAGAUUGAAAAGAAACUACGUAGAGUGCAUCCUCACUCUUACCUAUAGAUAACUCUUUGAACUAAAAUUAAACAUUUAAACUAAAAAACAAAAGAUACCAACUUAUACAUACCGUAACAGUUUCUACUGAAUAGUAACCACGGUCAACAUAAUCUCCCAUGAACAAGUAGUUUGUAUCUGGACACUGAAAGAAACCAUGGAAUCAAAAAUACACAUUUAACUGUGAACUCUGAUAUGGUGAAUAUAUCCAAAUAAGAAAUGAAAAUGAAUACAUACAGUGAGGAGACAACAAAAAGAAGUAUAGUAAAGCAGACAAAACAAUAAAACCCACUUACAAUAAAGUUAUCAAUCCAAAAACACCAAACUUAAGAUAACAUAUCCAGUUGAAAAUGACUUUGGCUAAAUUAUGAACCAUCCCAGCACAACAAAAGUAGGUAUAAGGUGACAAUGUGCAUAGGAUCCAGGCUUCAGACGGUUAUUACCACUGUUGCCAGGAUGCAUCACACAUGGCAUCACCUAAGCUGCUAGAACGUAAAAGCUCCUCUACUUGAGAUAUGCAGAGGACUCAACCCCAUAUUUAAAAGAGGCUAAUAUAAAUCUCCAAUUAGAAUAUCUUAAAUAUCCAGCAUAACUAAUGAACAUUUCUUCAGCAGAGACAAUAAUAACCCCUUAAGAAGAAGUACCUUUCCUCCAAUGCGGAAAAGCUCAGCAAGAUCAUGAAAUUGUCCAUGAAUAUCACCACAAAUUGUAACAGGACUUUUUACAGGCUGCAAUGCAAACAAACAAACAAGAUUAACUAAAAUUCAGAACACUUUAACCUCCUAGUAAGUACUAGCAAAUUUGAUACAAGAAAAGCACUACCAAAUAUAAAAAGAAGCAUAGACCAGCUAACCAAGAACAAGAGAUUGAGAACCUUAAACACAGUACAGCAAAUGAUCCUACAUAUCACUUAGGCUUAGUAAGCACUAACAGUACUAACGGGCGGUAAACUAAGGUUGGUCAUGAUCAUUGUCUCUAACACAACCCAAACAGCCAUCCUAAAAUAUACUAAGUUGAAACUUGAGAUUGAAAAGCACGAUAAUGAGAAAGAAAAACAAAAUGUAAACAAAACAGGAUUCAAGUACAUAAAGAAUAAUAAUUGAUAGUAUCUACAGAAACAAUGGCAGAAUAAGGUUAAUUCAUCCAUUUAUUAAACGAAUCAAUUUUUUCAAAUAAAACUCAUUUAAUUCGCAUCGAAUCGAAUGAACGAAUUCUGACCCAUAUUGCCACCCCUAAAAAUAAUUGAUAAUUAAACACUGUGUGUAUAUUUGACAUUUAAAAAAUGAGAAGUAUUGUUAUGUCAAAUAUCUUUAUUUGACAUUUAUCAAUUAUUUUUAUUACUAAACAAUUAUCAAACGCUUUUUACAUCUUUUAAUUGUCAAGAAUUCACAAUAAAAAAACUGUCAUAUAAUUAUGAUAAUUAAUAAUGGUCACUUUGCUAAAAAAAGUCAGUUACAUAUAAAAUAUUAUACAUUUAAAAAAAGAAAAUUGUUCUUUAAAUUCACGGAAGUGUCCGAGGAGAAUUUUAAGAUUAUGAUAAUGCCCUAGCUGGUUUUAAAAAAAAUUUAUAUUACCCCAAAUCCUAAGUAAUUUCAUUGGCUGGUAAAGUUUUAUGAAAACUUCCAUCAUUAAUCCCCCCCCCCCCCCCCCCCCACCCAAAAAAAAAAAAAGAAACUUUCAUCAUGAUAAGUCAAGACCCAUUAUAUUCUGAAAUGUUGAUUAAGUCAGCACACCGCGAAUUUACUUAUCUAGAUGUGUAAAUUCCUUGGAUAUCCUUGUUAUUUAUAUACUAGUGUUAAUGUUUGAUGUUUUUCUUCUCAUGUGUGGUACCCAAUUUUCUUAUUUUGUUUUCAUAAUAAUGUAAAUUGUUAUCUAAAUUUUUUUAAAUUAUAUUAUAUUUUAAAUGUUCCCCAGCUUAUUCUGAUUUUUCAUGGUUCAUGGCUUUCAAGGCUUUAUGUUUUAUAUCUCACAUGUUUAUGCAUUUCCAUUUGCAUUUCAAAGAUGAAAGUGUAGAAGAAAAAUCAGUUUUUAAAUUUUUACAAAAAUUUUUAGGAUCGCUCUCAUACAAUAUAUAAGAAUUUGUAAUUUAGAAAUCGUACCUUAAAAAUGCAAUUUGGCUUUUUCCGUUGAAGUGAUUUAAGCUCCCAGAUCACGAUCCGUCACCACCACUCAUAUUAGAUCACGAUUUGUCACCAUUACUCCUGUUAGAUCACGAUCUGUCACCAAAUAAUCUUCCAAGCUAUGGCUCAGGUUUGAUCUGCACUUGACGUGUGGACGCCUUUAUCACUACUAAAGCAACUAGCACGAGAAAAUUUUUCUCUGAUAUGUAUAAUGUGACAUUUCUUUUUUCAAGAGAAAAUAAGCAUUUUUAUAUCUCUAUUUUAGUGGAUACCCUAGGCUCCAUAUUUAUUUAUUUAUUAAUUCUAUUAAAUCUCUUUUGAUUUAAACUAAAAAAUAAUUAAAACAAAAGUCACUUUACUUGUUCUUGUGUUAUAGGGGCCCACCUUAUAAAAUAACACAAGGCCCCUUACACUCAAGCAUAUUAAUGGAGUCUCCCACUAAAUAAUAUAUUUAGGCUUUUGACCCAAAUAGCUAGUUAUCUUAUUUAUUAAUCCAGUAGUGUAGUCAAUUAAAUGAGCUAACUCGGGGAUCAUUUGGGAACAUAAAAUAGUGGCUACAAUAAUUAGGUCUGUAAUUAAACUAACCAAAUUAUUUAAUUCCAAAUCUACUCCACUAAAAGAUUGGAAUUGACCUCCAUAAUUGUAUGCUCGAAUAAUAAUUUGCCCCAAGCCACAUUGAUUUCUUUAUUGUAUAAUUCUUUGUACCACAUCAUUAAUUAAAUCGAUAUCUCAACCGUCCAAUCAAUUUAAUAACAUCUUAUUCAUUGAUACUUACUGGUUUUCUCUAAUGAUCAUUUUCAACAUACUAAAUAUGUUGACACACUUUGGCGAGAGAAUUCUAUAAUCAAGUGCUGAAAACUCAUUAAGAGAUGUGUUGUACAAAUUCUAUAUUGUUAAUCUAUAACUCCAAUACUCAUAAUUACUCCCACCAAGAUACCGGGUAUUCUUGAUUACAAGUGUGUGUCGUGCCCAUUGGUAACUCAAAUGGAAUAACAAUUACAAUCAUGAAAUUAUAAUUAACUCAAGAUUAAGAUUACAGUAAAAUCAAUGCCUAUGAGAUUUAAUAAGUUUGACAGUCAUUUCAAGGUUAAUUAAAUCUCAUAUGUGAUCCAGCUCAAUAUAAUUAAACUACAUAAGUAAAUUUAUACAUGAUUAAGACAAAUCAUUCAAUGAAUUUACUACAAUCUAAAAAUAAAUAGAGCGUCCAACUCUAUUUAUCAACUACGAACUAAAUUUAUUUAAUCAUAAGAUAACUUGUAUUUAUGUUUUCUGUGAAUCCAUAUGAUGAUCACAUAAAUACAUAUAAUAUGAUUAAACGGACAUUUUUUCAAUAUAUAUUUAUACAAUUGAAAAUAUCUCAAAUAUUUUAUUAAUCAUAAAAUAAAUUAAUAUACUUUAAAAGAACAUAUAAUCCCAACAGAAAGUCACUGUAGAGAUGGAUUUAUAGUUUCUUGAAAACCUUAAGAAAAAUUAAUUAGUAGGUCCUUGUCUACUACUUGAUUUUUUACAGCUAUAUGAAUGAAAUUAUAUGAAUAACGAUUUUUUUUUAAUUAUGUCCAAUAUCCAGGUGUUUAUCAUUAGUUUAUAAACUAACUACUUAAUAAACUAUUUAUUAUUAUUUUUUAAAUAUAAUUUUCGUUGCUAUUCUCAACUUCGUAAUAUUACGUAAACAUGCAUGGUUUAUAUGUUUGCCAUUUAAUUAUAACCAUAUCGUUCAACUUUAAUUUCAAAGUGAAGAUAUAACGGAAAAUAAAAAUAUAGCGAUCAUUGAGACUGGGCUUUUUGGUAGAAAGCAGCAAUAACAAGAGUUCGAAAGAUUAAAGACUAGCACGUUUAAGAUCCCAGAUAUUAGUAAUUAUAAGGCUAUUGAAAGUGAAUAUCAUCAUGUGUUUUAGGGGGAAACAAAUGUAAUAACUUCAAAAGUAACAAAAUCUAUUACACUCCCAUAGGAUCCAGCUUCCUUGUACCAAGUAGUUUCAUAGUUGUUUUCAAUAGACUUUCUUCCAAAGAGGGUGCUCUGAAAGUAAUAUGUAAAGCUAGGAUAACAAAUUACUUCGUGAUGUGAUUGAUUGCUAGCCUUCAAUCUUUUGAACUCAGUGAUUGCGGAUCACCUACGUAAAUGAAUGAAAAGCUAAAUAGUACAAAGUUGACAAAUGAUAUUCACCAAUUCUAUGCCUUGACUUCACAUUCCUUAACUUGGCAGCUCUCUCCUAAUCUAUUAUGGAGUAUUAACUUGUCAUUUCAUGGUCUAUAACUAACAGACAAUGCAACGGAGCACGGUCCCCUUAUGCACACGACAAACCGACUCUCACUUAAAGAAGAAAAUAUUGACAAAUUAAUUGUAACACUUACUACCUUUUGUCCUUUGAAGCAAAAGCCGGGAUUUUGUUUUUUUUUUCAGUGACUUUAUUAUUUAAAAUUGACCAAUACAAAAUGUUUAUUGUUUACAGUUUUCCUUAAUCGAUUAUAUUCUCUCUCAUUACAUUUCAGUACUUCUUGAUAGUGGUUCGUUUUACGUUAGUUGUUACUAAUCAAAUUAGAUGGAAAUGGAUAAUCUUUUAAAAAGAUCAUCAUAAAGAUCAUCAUAAAGAUUGGGUGAACGCUGAAUCCAAAGUCUUACAAUUAAUUACACAAGUAAUUCUUGUAAAUAAGAUUCGCACCUCUUGCUCGACAGCUCUCUAAUCGUGCCCAAAGCAGGCCUCCGAGAUCUUUUCCCGGACACAGUUUCGACAUCGUUUGCAACCCGGAGAGGGCUCCUCGCCGGCGACGAUCUCGCUUCAGGAUUCUUGGAUUUUGCUUUUGCCGUCAGCUUUUUCACUAUAUUUGCCAAGUAAAGAGGAGAAAAAUCAGACAGCGGGAAUGCUGAGGAAGGCAGCAAAAAGUAAACACGGCCUGGUUCCAGAAGAGUUUCAGGUCUCAAUGGCUUUAAGCCGCCGGUGAGAAUCUCAGCUGCCGUGUAUACAAAAUGCCUUGGCUGAUGCCCGACGACUUGGCUUACUGAUACAGAACAGUCAAGUUCCUGUACUCUUCCAUUCAGAUCAACAACUCGUACGCUGUUGAUGAUGAUGAUGAUGAUGAUGAGGAUGAUGAUGAACUGCCAAAGAUGCAGCAAGCCAUCUCUCUCGAUCUGUUUUUACAAUUUUUUGCUAAUCAAGAGAACAAAUACUGAAUCACGUGUGAACAAGGAGAAUCCCCACAGCCUUAAUGUGUUUGAUUAGAUCAAUAUUUCAAUAUUCAAUUAUUUAAUUGCAGAUCAUUUUCUUUUAAUAUUUUACUUCAAUAAUAUGACCUUAGAGAUAAGGUCCCUGGCUAUUGGUUAAAAAAAAAAAGGAUGGAAAUGUAUUGAAUUUAGUUAUGUUUGGUCAAUUUAAUUUUUAGUGAGAUUUUGUCAUCAUGGUCAUGAUAAAUUAGGCAGAUGGAAGAAGAAGAAACUCUAAGGUUUAUUAAAAGUGACCCACAUAAAGAGAGAAAAAAAAAACUAUAUAACUAAUUUUGUGUAUGAGAUGGCUCGGAAUUGGAAUUGGACACGCCUAUCUACCAUCAUGAUCGCCCAAAAAAGUCGCUGGCUUUUUUUUUUUUUUUCCCCCUUUUGAGAAAGGAAAGUAACACUUCCAUUACUUUAACUUUGUGAAUACAUCCAUAAUGGCAUUUGGGAUUUCAUCAUCCAUAGAGCCGAAUCUUUGAACCCUAUGGCUAACUUAGGCAAGGAAUGAGCAUGCAAUUAAAUUACAUGUUCUAGAAGUGUGUGCAAAAAGUUACAAUUUCAACAUCCUUACACAUGCUUUGUAUUUCCGAAACUACCCAAAAUAUUUUUGUUUUACUGCCUUGCUUGUUGUUGACUAGGUUGGCCACUUCUUGGCGAUCUAUUUCUACAAUUACAGCGGUCAGCUUGUAAACACAAUUCCACGGCUUCAGCUUCUGAAAAUCUGAGGUCAAUUGCACAAUUUUGACAGCUGCUACCAUUAUUUUUCUAUUAGAAUCUCUCACAACAGCACCCCAUCCAGCUAGCUAGCCUGCCAGCUGCCUGAUUCAAAUGGGCCACUGCUGCAUCGCCAAUAUUGGUUGAUAAGAAUGUUAUGUUAGAUAGCAUACCCAUUAUUUUUCUUUUAAGAAAAUCCAAUUUGGAAAGUUAUGAUUUUUUAUUAUAUUUUGAAACAUUAAGUAAGCACACCAAAAAUUUACUGUAUCUAGUUGUGUAAACUUUUCUUAGAUAUGCUUUUUAAUUAUGGCGAGUGUUAAUAUCUAAUGUUGAUGUUUUACUACCCUUUUUUUUUUUUUGUUUCCAUAUUAAUAAUGUUAUCUAAAGCUUUAAAAUUCUAUUAGAUUUUAACUUUUCCCGAGCUUCUUCUGAUUUUUCAUGGUUCAUGGCUCUGAAAGCUUUAUAUUUUGGCUAUUUACUGACUUGUUUUUGGAUAUCUGGGUUAAGUUAAUUUAUUAUUUCAACUAGUUGUAUGCAUAUAGCAUUUCCAUUUGCAUUUCAUGGUGAAAGCUACGGCAGAGAUGCAUUUGUUGUUCAUGAAAACUACGAAAAAUGAAGUUAUUAUAAAAGGUGCACCCAUAAUGCACCCUUUGAUUUAUUGUUUCAUCAUGAGAAAUAAAGUGCAUGUGUGCGUGUGCAUAUUACAUAUAUCAAUUGCUGGAAAUUCUUCAGUCAUGGUACGUUUUUUGAAUCCCAUAUAAUCAAUUGCUCUUGACAUAUUAAUCAUGGGUUUCGUUCAUUUAUGUCGACUUUUUGCAUUAUUAAGGAGAAGUCGUCCGCCCUAAUCAAGUAACAGAGGCGCAAUGCGGUAAGUUAUACAGGAAAAGAGUGAAAAAUUGUGUCUUUAAUAUUAUUUAACAUGCGGGUCCCGCUAAUGGACAAGUAAAAGAGGAAAGUAAUUUCAAUUUCACACUGUUUUCGCGCGUACGUAAACCACUCUUCUUUUGUUUUGAGUAAGUAUUGUAAACCACUCUAGCAAAACAUAAUAAUUAUUUAUUGCCGAUUACUUGUCCCAAAGGACAAUCCAUUUACUUGUCCCAAAGGUCAAUCCAUUAAACGUUCAGACACAUCUUCCAACAGUGAUAAAACAAAUUAACCAAUAAAAGAAAUUAAACCGAAGUUCUUGCAGCUUAACAAUGCAUGCAUGCAUACAUAAUCAAUCAGAUGGUAUAUUAUUUAGUGUGCAUGCAAUUAAGUUGAUAAUUAUUCCUCAUGAUCAGUCCAUCAGACGAUUAACAGCAGUCAGGACAGUUAUAUUCCCUAUUUCCACUUCCUUAACAACUUCUUGGACAGUAUCUCGAAUACCCAUAGCUUGCCUAACUUGGAAUGUUCUUCUAGUAACUUGAGCAUUCCUGAGUCUUUCGCUGAGCAGAGAGUUAAUGGAUUCUUCAUUAACUGGUGCUUCAUCUCGGCCAAAAGAUGUCAGGCUCACAGCUGCCAGUAACUGCUCUUUAACAUCGUCAACACUAAUUUCAUUCCGACACAAUUGCAAGAACAACGAACGCACAGAAUCAUAGAGUCCGAGUUCUUCUUUGAUCAAAUGAACGGCCUCUUCUUUUGUCACGGCCGUGUCACGAACUUCGACAAGGAUAGAUUGCACAAUACGCCGUCUUCUAGCUUGUUCAUUAGGAGGUACAAGAGCCAUAGCUUCUAAUCUAUAUAUAAAUUAGUUUACCCAAUCAUCAGUACCUAAAGAGACAUGUAAUUAAUUUAAAAGAAAAGAAAAUCAUUUAUGAGAGAGAGAAACUACAAAGUUCCUUUGUAGUUAAUUUAAAAGAAAAGACAUGUAGUUAAUUUAAAAGAAAAUAAAAUCAUUUAUCAGAAAGAGAAACUACAAAGUUACUUUGUUAAAUACAUUCUCUCUCUAAUAUUAGUUGUACAUCAGCAGCAAGUUGACAAAAGAGACUAGUUCACUAUCAACAACAAAGAGAUAAAUAUCUGUAUCAGUAUAGAAAAAGAGAAAGGGCACAAUUUGAAUGAUAAGAUCAUCAUCAAUACACAUUUGACAGAUAUGAUCAACAUCAAGACCUGCUAAAAUUUUCAUCAUGGAUCAUAGUCACCGAGAUUAAUUAAGAAACUAACUGGGUUCAGGAUUAGGGUAUGGGCAAAGUGGGUUAAGGAGGCAUGAAGAAGGCGGCCUAAUGGUUCCAACGAAAAAAAAUCUUGAAUGAGACUUGAAGAUCGUCAAAAACUACUGAAACUUGAGAUUAAUUAAGAAACUAACUGGGUUCAGGGUUAGGAUAUGGCCAAAGUGGCUUAAGGAGGCAUGAAGAAGAAGGCUUAAUGGUUCCAAUGACAAAAACCUUGAAUGAGACUUGAAGAUCAUCAAGAACUACCGAAUCUUAUGAUUAAUUAAGAAACUAACUGGGUUCAGGUGAGGAUAUGGGCAAAGUGGGUUCAGGAUUAGGAUAUGGCAAAGUGGGUUCAGGAGGCAUGAAGAAGAAGGCCUAAUGGUUCCAAUGAAAAAAAACCCUUGAAUGAGAAUUGAAGAUCAUCAAGAACUACUGAAACUUGUGAAAUGAAUUGUAUAGAUUUCCAGGUUCAUGGGGAAAUAAACAUGAAUUAAGAUUAUGGAAGAAAGAAGCCAAAAGAGCUUGUGGUUAUGACAAGGCAAAUGUGAAGAAGGGGCAUGGUCACCUGAAGAAGACUCAAAGCUUAAGGAGUACAUAUAGAAAUAUGGCACUGGUGGCAACUAUUUGAGGCCAGAUAUGAAACCUUGGGGAUUUCCUGAUGAGGAAGAUAGGCUGAUCUGCAGGCUCUUUGCUAUCAGUGGAAGCAGAUGGUCAGUAAUAGCUGCCCAUCUACCUGGAAGGACUGGCAAUGAAAUCAAUAACUACUAUAGGAACACAAAGCUCAAGAGAAACUCAUGGCCAUGCUCCAAAGAGCACUACUCCAUCAUAAAUCCCACCAUCUCAUCAUCAUCAGCAGCAGCAAGCUUUAGUGUCACUCCUACCAUCUCAAUCUCAUUACACCCCUACCAUUUUUUCCUUUCUUUUUUUUUCCCUAUCAGAAAUAGAAACGAAAAAGUUACUUUGUUAAUUACAUCCUCUCUCUAAUAUUACUUGUUCAUUCAAUCUGAUUUUGUCAUCUGGAUCAUUGUAGUAUGAAUUAAGCUGCUUCAUCAUCAACUAGUUCACCAUGAACAACCAAAGAAUCUAGCUAGUUCAUCAUUGAUAACAAAAGCUACUAGUUCAUCUUCAACAACAAAGAGAUAUAUAUCAGUUACCGGAAAAGAGAAAGGAGAACUGAAGGUGGAUAAACUAUAAAAGGGAAAAAAUUAAAUAGAAGAAAAGAAGUGUGCAAAAUAUGAUCAUUAUCAUCAGCAGCUAUUUCAUCAUCAAAAUGAAGAAGCAGAUGAUCAAACAUCAAAAAUGAAAAUCAAUCAAAUGAAAGACAAGAAAAGAAAUGCAAAAUAUAAUCAUCAUCAAGAUCUAUUGAACUUUGGGUAAGAUUCGAUCAUCAUGGAUCAUGAUUAAUUAGGACUUAUGGAAGAAAGAAGAAAGUAACAAGGUUUAGGAGUUGGACAUGGGUAAUGGGGGCUUAAGGAGGCAUGAAGAAGAAGGCCCAGUGGUGCCAAUGAAAAAAAAACCUUGAAUGAGACUUGAAGAUCAUCAAGAACUACUGAAACUUGUGACACGAAUUGCAUAGAUCUUCAGGUUCAUGAGGAAAUAAACAUGAAUUAUGCUUAAGCUGAUGGAAGAAAGAAGCCAAAAGAGCUUAUUCAGAAGAGAUCUACAAAAAGAAGCACAAGAAAAGAAUUGGCAAAUAUAAAAUUGAGGAUGCUAACGGUUCUAUGUGAAAAAAUUUCAAAUUGACACAUACCAGUGUUUCUACAAGUGAAGAAUAUACUUCUUUGUGAAAAAAGUGUAAGUGAAGGAAGCACUUUCUUCUUUAUUUGAUCUUGCCUUCAUAUUGUAUGAUCUAGGCCAUGGAACUAUGCGUCAAUUUUUUUAUUUCUAAUACUUUUUUUUUAAAAGGAGUUCAACAUUUACUUGAUAGACCAAAAUUGUAAACUUUUUUUCGUUCAUAUACCCUGAUGAAACCAAAAAAAUAAUCCAAUUCUCCUUUUCUUUGAAUAUUGCAACAAGAUGGUUAAAUUCUCUGAAAACCAACAGCGAAAAUGGCCCUCUAUUUCAUGGAACCCCUAUUAUUAUUAGUGUGAACAUAGCCCUUUGAUCCUUUAUUGUCUCAUAAAAAGGCAAGCUUUCUUGCGUUUCAAUCCAUAUACAGUUGUACACACUAAUCUCCUCUAUAUUUCUUUACAACUUCAAUGGCAUUUUGCUGCAUCUGGAAAAUAUCACAAAAAUAAUAUUGUAAAAACUUAAAUGCUUAAUUUUUUAUCUCCUGUUUCUAACAAGAUGCAUGUGUUUGUUAUAUUUAUUAAUUAUCUAACUCUAUACUUUAAUUGAGAAUAAUAGGAAUUAAAUUUGGGGAAUUUGUAGACUUGUUUGCAAUGGUGCUAAGGCUUUGGUGGUGGUGGUGGAGGCUUGUAAUAGUACAGCAAAAAGAAACACAAGAAAAGGAGAAAAAGUGAAAUAACUAGAAUGAAGGAUAUUUACUAGUGUUUGUGCAAGUAUAGAAUGUGCAUUCUUGCCUGCGUCUCCUUUAAAAAUAAAAAAAGUUAUUUAUUAUUAUCUUUUGUUUUUAAGGUACCCCUUUAACAAGAGAGGAGAUGAGUUGCUAAUCUAUCAAUGGAGAUGCAUAGAAACUGGAAGGUGUCUAAUAUUCUUGCAUGAUUUACAGCCUUAUUAUUAUUGUUCCCUGUAAUGGCAAGUUUUCUUCCUUCUCAACCCAUAUACAGUUAAUGCACGCAAAUCUCCCUCUUAGUCUUAUAUAUCUGUAUAACUUUAAUGGCACUUUGCUGCAUCUGGAGAAUAUCUCAAAAAUUAAUAUGGCCAAAAAUUAAACGCUUCAUUUUUUAUCUCCUGUUUCUAGCAAGAUGCAUGUUUUGUUAUAUCUAUUAAUUUUCUAACUUUAUACUUUUAUUGCGGAUAAUAGGAAUUAAAUUUCCUGACGGAGACGCCAAAACUCAAAAGCAUUCAUGCUUGGAAGCAUAUGUAAUUUCUAGUACUGCUUGGUGGUGAAUGUUAACAAAAUAACACCUGCAAGCUGUAAUGUGACCGUUGCUAUGCACAAACUAAAGACAAACAGAUUUUUUUUUCUUUUUUUCUUAAAGGGAUAUUAUCAUUUUCCCACCUAAGGUAUUCUGACAUAUCAUGUCAGUACCACAGUUUGGUAAAACUAUCAAUUUACCACCAAACGUUUAAAUUGUUAGCAUUUUCCCACUAUUCCGUUAAAACUCAGUUAAUAUGUAACGGAAAAUUUCUAAAAGGUCAAUUUUACCCCUGGAGUAUAAAAAACCAUGUAAUUAACCUUUUAUGAAUUUUGUAAUUAAAUCAUCAUUUGUUGUUCUUCAUUCUUAAAGGACAAAAAUUACCAUUUAUGAAUUUUGUAAAAUUGACCGUGUGGUAUUAGGUACUUCAUAAAUUGAUUUAAUUUAUUUAAUUUUUAAAGGGCAAAUUUAUUUAUUUAAUUUUUUGUGUAAAAUUACUAUCAUCAUAUCAAAGAUUAAAUUGCUUCUUUUGCACAUUCUUUUUUUUUCCCUUUCAUAAAUUGAUGUUUAGUAGUAGAAUAAAUUGUCUUUAGCUCGGCAAUUUAAUAAAUAAAUUUGACCUUUAAAAAUUAAAUAAAUUAAAUCAAUUUAUAAAAGUACCUAGCACCACACGGUCAAUUUUAUAAAAUUUAUAAAGGGUAAUUUUUGUCCUUUAAGAAGGAAGAACAACAAAUGAUGAUUUAAUUACAAAAUUCAUAAAAGGUUAAUUACAUGGUCUUUUACACUUCAGGGGUAAAAUUGACCUUUUAUGAAUUUUUUGUUACAUAUUAACGGAGUUUUAACGGAAUGGUGGGAAAAUGCUAACAGUUUAAACGUUUGGUGGUAAAUUGAUAGUUUUACCAAACCGUGGUACUGACAUGAUGUGUCAGAAUACCUUAGGUGGGAAAAUGAUAAUAUCCCUUUCUUAAAUUAUGAUAAUGCCCUAACUGAUUUUAAAUUUUUUUAUUACCCUUGAUUUAAAUAUAUAAUUCUAAAAAAUUUAAUUAGUUAUUAAAAGGGUGCAUUCGGUAUUGUUUUCAAAUCUUGUUUCUGUUUUUUGAAGUCAGAAAACACUAAUUAUGUGUUCGAUAGAUCAUUUUUUAAAAUGUAAAAUUCAUUCAUUCUACACUUUAAACAAAGAAAUAAGAAAUUAAUUUUUUCUUAUUCUCCUUAUUUUCCGAUACAAUAUUAAGUUUCAAAAUGAACAAUUUUUUUCCACCAUCUCACAAAAUAAUAAUAACAUCAACAAUAUUAUUAUUAUUAUUAUUAUUAUUAUUAUUAUUAUUAUUAUUAUUAUUAUUAUUAUUAUUAUUAUUAUUAUUAUUAUUAUUAUUAUUAUUAUAAUACCCAAAAAAUCAAUUUCCCUCUCAAUAAUCUUUUCUUUUUAUAUACAUUAUAAUAUUUAUGUUUUUAUAUAUAUUAAUUAAAUCAAAAAUUAAAAAGGUCACCUAAUUUAUUCUUAAAAUUAAAAUAAUGAAAAUAAUUAUUCAUUACUUAAUUCUAAGUUUAUGGAAAUUAUUCCAAUAAUAAUUCUUUAAAAUGUUUCUAACAAACAUAUUUUACUUUUUUUUUCCAUUUUCAAGAUUAUUUUUUAAAAUGAUACUAAACACAUUUUUAAAUUUUAAAAAUAAAUUUGACAAUAACAUUUUUAUUCUUGUUUUUGUUUUAUGAAAACAACAUUUAAAAAACAAUAUCGAAGAGGACCUAAAGUUCUAUGAAACUUUCAUCAUUAAUCCCUAAAUUGUAAGUCUUGUUAAAUCUAAUUUUCAAUUAUGCACCUAAUUUUAUCAUGUUUGCUUUAAAGAACAAAUUGAUUAAUUUAGAUCACAUCACUUGAUAAGUCACUCAUUAUUUCUCGAAAUGUUAAGUCAGCGCAUCAGAAAUUUACUGGCGCUAGUUUUCUAGUUUUUUGUUUGGAUAUGCUUUUUAAUUAUGGCUAGUGUUAAUGCUAAUGGUUUACUUCUCAUUUGUAGUGCCCGAUUUUUUUUUUAAAUUUGUUUCUAUAUAAUAACAUUGAUGCCUAAAUUUAAAAUUUUAUUAUGUUUUAAAUCUUCCACCAUUUGAUGAAAAACCACUGUAGAGAUGCACUUGUUUUUCAUGAAAAGUAAGAGCAUGUUAUAUCUUUUAUAUAUCAAUUGUUAGAAAUUCUUCUGUUACGAAAUGUUUUUGAAUGCCAUACAGCUAAAUUUUUUAAAUAACUAUCCUUAUUUUCAAUCCAUAUGCAUAUCUUAUCGUGUGGAUUACAUAUGUCAUGGGACCAUAUAAAUUUUGGACAUCAUGGGAUGAAAAACAAAGUGGACACUUUUCAUUAUAGAAAUUGGAGAAUGAGAUUAACUAAUGUUUGACUUCUUUAUGACAUUCAUUGCGUGAAAUCAUUAAAUCAAGAUCAUGGGCUUCUUUAUCUUGAUUUUAUUCAACAUGUAGUCAAAUUUGAACAUGCCAUCCUGGAGUUAAGAUUGUUAUUUAUUUCAAGUGUGUCCUUAAUAUUUUGAUUAGUUUAUAAACCAACUGCUUACUAAACUAUUUAUUAUUAUUUUUUAGCAUAUUUUUUGUCGCUCAUUUCUACUUCAGGAAUAAUAAUAUUACAUAAAUAUGCCAUAUUAAUAGAGUGCCGUGUAAUUAUAACCAUAUCGUUCAACUUUAAUUUCAAAGUGAUUAUAUGAUGGAAAAUUGUGUGUGUGUGUGUGUGUGUUUUUUUUUUUUUUUAGCAGCAAUCACAAGAGUUUGAGGCCGAGCAGAAAUCAUGUGUUUAUAAUGUUUAGAGUGCAGCAAUCACACAGUGUGUAUACUGUUAGAGUGCCAAAAAGUUCAUAAGGCUAUUGAAAGUGCAGAAAUCAUGUGUCUAGGGAAAAUAAAUGUUAUAAUUAAUAUGAAAAACACCAAAAGUAAUGAAAUCUAUCAGUGUGUGCAUCCAAAUGUAAUAAAUCAAAAAGAACAAGAAAAUUAAAGUUUUUUGCACUCAGAUGGUCUACAAUUAUAGCAACAUUUAAAGUUUAAGCUGUAGCGGCUUAAAAGAAUGCUAUUAUGCAACAAUAUAAGAUACCUUCCAUGCAUAUGCAUCUCCAUUGAAUAUUGAUAGCAAUCAUUACUUUCUCAUUUGGUCAAAUUUGUCACUGUCGUAGGUGUUUGGUAUAUGUGUUACUCUUAUUAUAUAUAUAUACAUAAAAAUUCUACAUGUAUUAAUUCUUUAGUUCAUUAGUUGCAUUCAGUAAUUCUUUUUUAAUCCUGUCAUUAGAUUUUACCUCAUUUCUUUCUAGCGAAGUUCAAAUUUAAAAAAUCGACGCUAAAAAAAUUAGGGCCUUGUCAUUUGAGCUAGGACUUCACCUGUAAAAUAUUUCUUUAGUUGAAUUUAUAGAAGAUAUUAAUUAUGUCAAAUUUCACACGUAUGUCUGAGAAAUCUUUUCAAUAGGCUCUUAAAAAAAAGAAAAGAAGAAGGUCUCUUCUCAGUUUUUCACAAGCAAUCUGUAUCCUCUCUAAUAUGCAGGAUUUAUAGUUGUUAUUUAUACUGUGCCAUGUAAUUAUGACGGGCAAUCUAUAUUAUUAUAACAUGGUGGGGGUGAGAGAGAUGAAUACUAUACAACGGGAAUGGGAGGUUUAAUUUUAUGUUCAUUGCUUUGACAUUUUUGCUUUACAAAGGGAAAUACACUUGAACUUGUUGGAACGUGAAUGUAGCUUUAGCCUCGAUAGACCCCAAAAUCCCCAGGUAAGAAGGAUUGUUAUAUUUAAGAUUGCUUUUAAAUUACAAUUUAAAAUAUGAGGAAUUUAACUUAAUGAUUCACAUUCAAAGAUCUAUCACAUAGAAAUUUUUUUUAAUUUAUUUGUAGAAUAACAAAAAAAUUGUAAAAGAAAAGAAAAUUAGUAUAAUACUAAUUUGAGUUUUAAAAAUAAACUAAAUUAAAAAAAUAGAUAAGUGUAUUUAUAAAAAAGGAUGUUUUUGGAAUUUAAAAAAAAUGGAAAAAGAGGUUAUGAAGAGAUUAAAGGGGUACCAAAAGUCGAAGUGUCCAACUCUUAAUAGCGGCGGACAAGUGUCCCUUUUGUUAAUUUUUGUGCUUAAUUAAACACUUUUGUUAUAAUUUUAGGUUUUGCUAUUAGUAUGAAUUAUCAGUAAUACUCUUGUAACACAAGCACCUUUAUAUAUUUGUUUAAUCUAUUUCCUAAGAUAAAUAAUUAACCAAAAAACAAAAAAAAAAAGGUUUAUGAAUAAAAAUACGGAGUCAUUAUUACAUUAAAUUUAUAAAAAAUUAUACAAGUAAAAAAUGACUUUUCACUAUAAGUCGCCAAAUUACUUGACAAAAAUAUUGAUAUUUAUAAUUAAAAAAAUAUUAUUCUAAUCUCCCAAAUCAAUUAUACAAAGUAGUUUAAUACCUAAAUCAAAAUUUAAGUUCAAAAUGAGUUAAAUCCACUCCAUUAAUAAAUAAAGAGGACCUAUCUAUUUCAAAGUCUUUGUGAAUAUCAUAAUAAAAGAGUGGGGUUAAAAUAAGAAGUGGAAAAGUAAUAAUGGUGUAUUGAUGUUUCUUUUUUCAAUAUUUUCUCGGAAAAAUAAAAUUUUGAGUGAGAAAUAUUUAUGUAAGGGUGUUAUUUUCAUGUUAAACAGAUAUUAGCCAAUUUAAUUUCUUAAAUAAAUAUUUUUUUAAAUGAUAAUAUAGUAAUUAAGCCAAAAGAAUAAAGACUUCAUUCAUGACAAAUUGUACGGGUAAAAUUAAAGAACACAAAUAGGGAUGCGUCAUGCGUGUACCCCGGAGCCCUAGAAGCAGCAGCGACUGCUCAAAAAAAGUAGAAUGCCUUUAGCUGGAUUUGGUCGCUGCCUGAUCCAACGCAUGAAUCCAAAUCACUCACUGCCCUAUACUCUUUUUGGGGGGUCAAUAUGACGCACAUGCCAGAAACGUCAGGCCAAUCAACAAAAAGAGCCCUGCAAUCCCAUUGUAUGGCAUUCAGCAUAAGACGGCCAUACUCUAGUUAAAUAUCAAUGCAAAAAGAUCAGCAUUUUUUUUCUCUAUUUCUUAUAAAAUGAUAAAUUUAUAAAAAAUUAGUCUUUGGCCGUCUUUUUAAACCGAGUAACAUGGCAUCUUUUGGCUGUGUUUUGGCAGGUCUUGUUCAAGUUUUACUUUCAAAGAAAAAAUUAAAAAAAAAAAAGAGGAACAAAAUCUCUUUUCAGUUUUUCACAAGCUUGUCUGCUAUCCCCUUGAAUCUUGAUCAGUGGGGGCGCAGCUGCAUUGCCAGAAGUGGUUGAUAAGAAUGUUAUCCUAGAAUACCAUUCAUUUGGACACACCACAAAUUUACUUUUUCUAGCCGUCUAAUUUUUCUUAGAUAAACUUCUUAAUUUACAGCAAAUGUUAGGAUUGAUGUUUUACUUCUCCUAAGUAGAAACCGAUUAUUAUUAUUUUUUUUUCAUUUUGUUUCCAUAAUAAUAUUGUUAUCUAAAAUUUUAAAAAUUCUAUUGCAUUUUAAACCUUUUUCCAGCUUCAUGAUUCAUGGCUCUGAAGGCUUUAUAUUUUGGCUAUUUGCCCACUCGUUUUUGGAUGUCUAGUUAAUUUAAUGUAUUAUUUCAACUAAUUGUAUUUCCAUCUGCAUUUCAAUGAUGAAAAGCAACGGUAGAGAUGCAUUUGUUGCUCAUAAAAACUAUGAAAAAAUGAAUUUAUUAUGGCGUUCCCCAUAAAGUAUAUCAAACUUUAAUUUAUUGUUUGAUCAUGAAAAGUCGAGGGCUUGUUCUAUCUUUCUAUAUCUUCAAUUGUUGGAAAUUCUUCAGUUAUGGUAUCUUUUUGAAUGCCAUACAACUUAAAUACUGUUGACAUUUAUAUGUUUGCUUUCAAAAAGGUGAUGAUAAUGAAGUUCAAUUUUUUGGUAAUUAAGGGCAUACUUUGUUCAUAAUUUUAUUUUAAUUAACAAGAAAUAACAGAAAAUGAAUGUCCACAAAUUAAAUAAAACACAGAUCAGAGUGCAGUUACCAAUAUUAGCUACUAUAUGCUCUCAGUAGCCAAAUGAAGAUAUGGAUUCAGGCGUUCCUUAACUAUCAGCCAAAUGAAGAUAUGGAUUCAGGCGUUCCUUAACUAUCAGCCAAAUUCAAAUUCAUAUUGACUGAGUUAUUUUGGUAGCUACAUGAAUGAAAUCAUACGCAUGCAUAACAAAUUGAUUAUUUUUUUAAGUUAUGUCUUAUAUGCAGGAGUUUUAAUUGUUAUUUAUGAUGGGCAAUAAAUAAUUAUAACAGCCGGGGGGAGAGGGACGAAUGCUACACAAUGGAAAUGGGAGGUUUGAUUUUUUGUUCACUGCUUUGAUGCUUUUGCAUUAAAAGGGGAAAGAAUCUUGAACUUGUUGGAACAUGAGUGUAGCAUCAGCAGAUCUUGAACUGGAUUGGGCACAAAAUAAUGGACCACAAAAUCUCCAAGAAAGAAGAAUGGCCGGCGAAUUCCUGGCUGAAAUGAGUACGAAGGGCAGGUGGGCCAGUGGCCGGGCAAAUUCCUAGAUUGGAUUCAUGCGAUGCAUCAGCAGAUGUUGGCCGAACAAAUCCAAGCUAAAGGCAUUCUACUUUUAUUAACUUAUUUAUGGCAAAGCGCAUAAACCAAAGCCAAUAAAUGUAACACUGAAUUAGUCGUUUGGCUAUCUUUAGCUAAUUUUGAUGAAAAUCCACCGGAGUUUGGCUCGUAUUUGUUUUGGCACGUAUUUGUAAGGCACCGUUUUUGUCAAGCAUAAUUAGCCCUAUUUUGCUCGUAGGGCAUUGAAAAUCCAUUCAUCUCUCUCUUCCCCCGCUGUUAUUAUUGCCCAUCAUAAUCCGUGGCACUGUAUAAAUAACAAUUGUAACUGCUGCAUAUAUAUUAGGCAUAAUUUAAAAAAAAAAUCAAUUUGUUAUGCAUAUAAUUUCGAAAUUAAGUCAAUAUGAACGCAACUGCAAUUGAAUUUGGCUGAUGGGACUAAGGGUUCGUUCGAUAUUAUUUUUCGAUUAGUAUUUUCAUAAUAUAAAAAUAAGAAUGAAAUUUGUAUUUUACAGUUGUUUUAUUUUGAAUAUAAAUACGUGUCUGGUAAUAUUUUUUGCAUCGUGUACUUAAAAAAUUAAAAAGUAAUACACAUUUGUUAGUCAAUUGAAAAUGAUAUGUUCAUAUAUUGAGUUUGUGUUUGGUAGUUUUAUUUUCAUAAACAGUUUUUUUUUUAAUUAGUAAAGGGCUCUGAAAAGAGCUAAGGCAACACUAAACGGGAGUGUGCAACCCCAUAAACAUCAUUGUUUAAUAUGCUAAGCAUAUUUAAAGGAAGAGACUGAAAGCAAUGUAGACCUAAAGGAAAGGAUAAGCUAUAAGUAGCAAGGAAAUCUGUUGUUACAUUUGCUUCCCGAUAAAUAUGGUUCAUUUGAAUCAACCAGUCACGUCAGAUAAGCUCUUGGAUGGCUUGUAUUAGAGAAAGAUGGUCAUUGAUGAUGGGGCUUGAAGUAGAGACUAACUGCAAGAUACACUUGCUGUCCACUUCCACUAUCACCUUACGAAAGCCAUAUAGCCAAGCUAUAGAUAACCCAUGAAAUAAACCUCAAAGUUCAACAGAUGUUACUGAACAAACGCCUAAGUUGGCACCAUAUCCGAUCUGCCAAACUCCUCUGUAGUCACGAAUGAGCCCUCCUAAACGUACAAGUUAUAAUGCAAUUAAAAAGGUAAUAUGAUGAAAAAUAAAAUAAGAUUGAUUUGUUUAAUCCCAUGAAUAAAAAUUAAAUUCCUAGAUAAAUGUAUAUUUACCAUAAAUAAGCUAUCAUGAAAUUUUAAGAUAGGUAGCAUAUCCUCAAUAAAUUAGUAUUAAUAAAAAUUUUAUAAUUUGAAUAAAGUUGCCAUACAUUAAGACUCCAUUUGGGAAUUUUUUUGGUAAUUUUUUUUCAGAAAUCACUUUUGAUAAAUCGUCCCAUCCUAUAGCAAAUUUUGAAAAGUAUAAAAGGAGUAGGUUUUCAAAUUUUGAUUUUGAGAAUCACUUUUAUACUUAAUAAAAAAUCAUAUAUAUUCUCAUAUAUAUUAUAAAAAUCCAAAAUUAUCCUUUUUAAUUAAGAAAUAAAAUCAUUAACUUUAAAGAGAUUAUUAUUAUCAUCAUCAUCAAUUAUAUUGAGAUAACAAAGGAAAAAUAAAAUUAAGAAAUAUAAAAUAUUUAUUUUAGUUGUCAAUUAUUAUAUGCAUACAAUAAAAAUAUUGUAUAUAUAUAAAUGUUAUUCAACAUAUAUCUAAUUCAGUCAUUUAUAUUCUUACAGCAGUUUAAGAGAAAAAUUUACCAAACACAUACGACUAAUUAUAAAAUUCACAAUACUUUUAAAAAUAAAUUUUACCAAACGUUUAACUGAUUCUCUACACAAUUAAUUAUUUCUAAAGUACAAUUGACAUUAUCAUCAAAUUGGCCCUAAUUCUUUCUCACGUUUUUAACAUGGUCAUGCACUAUUCCUUUGGGAUGUAACACAAUAUGGCCAUACAUACUUUUAAACACAAAUAUCCCACAACACUCAUCUGCAUGCUUCUAAGAAAAUAAAUACAAAUAUUCGAAUACUAUGUUGGACCUAAGAUAUAUAUUCAAUCUCCCACUUAGAACAAGUUUCAAGAGAAUAAAAAUUACAAAAAUUAAUAUCUUUAUGUAGAUCUAUAAAUAGUAGUUCAAAUCCACACAAACAAUUAUUUCAUAAUUUGUUUUUAAGAUCAAAAGAAAACAUUGAUGGUGGGUUAGAAAAAAAAUAAUAAUACAUGCAAAAUAGGAAAAGAUAGGAAGAAAAUGUAAGAUGAAUCCCAAAAAAAAAAAGGUAACAGAUAAAAAAGAGUGAAAAUUAAAAAGAAUUAUUGGAAUGAGAGAUUAGAGAUGAGAAAGAAUGGAUUUACAGCCAACCCGUUGGCUCCUGAUGAAUUCAGAUCGGGUAUAGGACACUGAAAAACCUAAAAACAAAAUUCGGACUAUUUCGUGAAUAGGUCCAAGACUCAACUAAAUUUCAAGUUCGAAUUUAGGGAUUUUGUCAAGUUCUCGAACAUAAACCCAAAAUAUUUUAAUUAAGUAAAAAUUAGGAAACGAAAUACAAAAAUUGCUCUCUCUCCUCUCACUUGGCUUAGCGUCGUGGGGGAGGGUGUGUUUUAUGAGAGAUUCUUUAUUUUGCUUGAUUUCUUGUUUUAAAUUCUAACUUUGGAUCUUGAGACCAUAAGAAAGAUAUAUACUUAUUCUUUUUUAGUAAUAACUUUGGAUCUUGAUUUCACAUGAUUUAUUUUUUAUCAUCAAAAUUUCCCUCUUCUUAUUCUUGUUUAGAUCCGUAACUGCAAAAUUCAUCGAAAGAAAAUACUCACACCUUCCCAUGCAUUUUUUUUUAUGUAUUAUUAUCAUCGUUAUAUUGACCCUAAUUUGGUUUUUUAGAAAAUAGCAACUCUAAUUGACUUCCUCUUUUUUUUUUUUUUUCUCAAUCUUUUUGCCCAUUUACUCUUUUUAUUUCCGUUAUUAUUUCAUCUUUAAUUUUUCCAUUUUUGCUUCCUUUUUUCCUUCUUAUUUUAAAAAAUUUUGUCUGAUCGAUUAAUUAUAUAUUUAGUGUUUCACCAAUAAAUUAAUUACAAGAUAUUUAUUAUUACUAUUUUAGUUGGACGGCAAUUGUUUGCUAUGUAAAUUAGCAAAUUUUUUGUUUGGUUCAUAGGAACACCGAUGAAAAUUGCAAGUAAUUGCAAAAAUUAUCAUGUAAAUAAUUAUUAUACACAAAAUUAUUAUUUUUAAAAAAUAAAAUAUGUAAACAAUUGGGGAUCGGGCCCCAUUUUAAUCUUCACUUCAUCCAGGGAUUAUUGGGGAUAUUCCCUAACUAUCUCCCACUAUGAAGGGUUUGGGAAUUGCUUUCAGUUUGGGGAUAGGGCGGAAAUGAUGAUCCCUACCCCGACGAACCCCCCCCCCCCCCCCCCCCCCCCCCCCCCCCAAGCACGGAAAUUGCCAUCCUCAUAUAAACAAAUUUGUUUACAAAUUAGCUAUAUAGCGAACACUUCAACUUGCUUGCUAAAUAAACAAUGGUUUUAGUGUUCGAGAAGGGUAGUUUUAUGAUAAUUAUUAUCAUUGUGGUGAUCACUGCUUGUGCAUCACAUGUUCAGGCGGUAGUGAUGGUAGAGUUGCAGUGAGAUGUGUAUGAAUUUAAUGAUAUUAAAUGGCAGUACUAACCAAAAUUUAAAAAAAAAAAAAAACAAGAAGAAAAUAGCUGUUAUAUUUUUUAAAGAAAUAAUAAACAGUAAUUAUAGUACUUCUUUCUCUUUAAUAAGAAAGAAAUGUAAAAUUAAUACAAAAAAGAGAAACCACUUAGUAAUAUUGAAAAGAGAAAAGUAUUAUAGAGUUUUAAAUAUUGAUAUAACUCUUCAGAGAGGAAGUAAUUGAAAAUUAAUUGUAUGCAAGUGCAAUCUGGUUCUUAGUAGAGUAUGUUUAUUUUAAUCAAUAUGUAAUAACAUUUUAGUAUUUAAGAAAUGCACAUACUUUGUUUUUUAAAUUCACAUAAAUUGCAACAACACAGUUCACUGACCCAAUUGUUUUUUGUUCAGCGGCUUAUCUCAUCACCAUUACAGGAACAACUUAUUUUAUCCACCAUAACAAUUCCAGAAUGGUUCUUAGGUCAUAGCUAGUCCCAGACCGAUACGAAUCAGUAAAUCUCCUAGCGAGCAUCGCGGUACUAAUUACCUUGAUUGAAAAGUCAUGAAGUAUGGAGGGCACGUGCGACAAACAAAUUAAGGCAUGUAUACGUCUGGAUCAUGCAUUACGGGUUAAAUGUAUGUGAUUCAUGUCCAUUAAUUGAGAGAACAAGCUCCAUCUACUUGCUAGCAACGAUUUGUGCUUCAAAUUUUCACAACUUGUUAAUCAAUGCAUAUAAUUAUCUUCCAAAAAUUAACCAUGGUUUUAAUAUUUUAAAAAAAUAGCAAUUUUAUGAUCAAUAUUAUUCCCAUGUUUAUUGUUAUCAUCCUGGUGUGCAUCACAUGAACAAUCCUCUGUUAAGAAACACGAAAAAUGGGUGGUUCAACACGGGACGCAGUUACAAAGACGAGCUAGAGAAGGAAAUGAGGCUUAAGAUAUUCAAGGAGAACCUUGAAUACAUUGAGAAAAGCCAGUAAGGAGGGGAAUCGGACGUACAAGUUAGGCACCGAUCAGUUUUCGGGCUUAACUGACGAUGUGUUUCGUGCUUCAUACACCUGUCCAUGACUAAUGUUUCGACAAGCCUGGACUAGCGGGACAAUGAAGCCGUCACUUUAUCAAGGACCAAGGCUUUUGCGGUAACAAUUGUAAUUAUAUUGAGGGAAUCGUGUACUACAUAGGGAAUUUCUCAGGUGACGUUACUGUAAACAUGUGAAAAAGACCAUAUGUCUUCAUUUUAUAAAAUGCGGUAAUCCACACCAGAUAAUCAUUGGUCAUCAUGUUUAGAGAGCAUUCUCAAGUGCGGGCUUAUGCCUUUACAACACUGUAAAACACGCGACUGCAGGCAUAUGAGAAUAAUUUAUUAGGCUUAAUUGCCAGUAUUAUAUUUUGUUGGGUUCGGAACAACUGAAGAUGGAACCAAUUACUGGUUAAUUAAGAAUUCAUGGGGCAACACUUGGGGUGAGGUUGGCUACAUGAAGAUUCUUAGAGAUGAAAGUCUCCGUGGUAGUGGGCGCUCAAUAUUUCUAUCCACUUGCCUGAAUACGUACGUGCAUUAUGUAUUUACCACAAAAAGCUGAUAUAUAUUUUGUGGUUUUUUUAUAUUUCAUUAAGUUAAAUAAUGUUUUUAAUCUUUAUUUAAACUAUUAAUGUUUGUAAUUGAAUGCCAAUAUGUAUUUGGCCUGGUAUCAAUUAAUGUUAAGUCUCGCGAUUAAAUAUAUAGGUUUGCUCUUUGCUGGAAUUGUUUGUUUACAUUUCAACCAAUAAAUUAUACAAAGAACCUCUCAGGGCUCAUGCUAACAAGUUAGCCGUCGAUUAUGAAAAAUAAUAAGGAGCCCUAAAGGCGACCCCAUGGCAAAGGAAACAAAUAAAUAAAUAAACCGUGCAGGGUUAUCCGUACACGUGCAACUUUAUUUGUUGCCAUCAUAUUAUAUUUUUCAGUUCAAAUACCAGUGCUCCCAUAAAUUAAUGGCAUUUAGGCUAUCACUAAUUUGUAGCUUUCAUGAUCAUGAGAAUAAAUUAAUGAGUUGAUCAUGGGAUAGUUCGAAUUGUGCUACUAGUCGAUCAUAUAUAUAAUAUAUGCAGAUGCAACAAAAUCAAGAGUUGAAAGCACUGAAAUUAGAAACUUGUAUGAAUUCUGCUUUCAGAUUCACUUCUCUGAUUGUGUCUUCAAUUUUAAAAAUGAAAUUUCACGUUUACAGUUUACUUGCUUCGAGACGAUAAACUAAGCAAGUAGAGCAAGAAUAUUUAUACGUAUCAGAGGAUAAUAUUUCAUUUUCAAGAAUCGAGAAAAACAAUAAUUUUCAAUGAGAAAUAGAAUUGCUAAACAAACGCAAAAAAGAAGCACACACAGACGUGUAAUAAUUCAGAGAUUCAUUUUCCACAUUUAUAAGUCAAAAUACUUAUGAUUUUUAUCAUAUUUGAGAUUAUACCGGAUUCUAAUUGUAUAUUUUAUGACAUUAUAGCACGUCUUGAUGUUGGUAAUUAAUUAAGGAUUCUUCAUGCGACUCAUUAAUAUUAUAGGUAUCAAAAGUCAUCGCAGAUUUUGCAAGAUUUCCUCCGUGCAAAUAAAUGUGUGCAUGUAUUAUCGAAUUAUAAAUCUUUUACCCCAGGGCAUGACUUCACUCAUAACUCUUAUGCAACUUAAUUAUUUAGCUCUAGAAUAAAGCAGUACAUUUCUGUUGCACGUGCAUUUAUAAUAGUGUAAGGUUAAAAUUUAAUUACAUAUUAUUAUAAAAAAAAACUCAGCACAACCAAAUCCGAAAAUUAUUGCCCGCGCUUACACAUACACGGGAUUAAAUGUGAUCCACGUUAUCUGAGAGAACAAAUCAGCCAGAUCUUCUGCUGCUACUAUUUAUAUAUAGACAGGGAGCUGCCAUGUUUGCUUCAGUUAUUCACAAUUUUAUUUAUAAAUUAGCUAUAUAGCCAACUCCUUCGACUUGCUAAAUAAACCAUGGUUUUAAUAUUCAAGAAGAGUAGUUUUAUGAUAAUUAUUAUCAUUGUGGUGAUCACCAUUUGUGCAUCACAUGUUCAAGUGGCGGUGUCCCGAUCAAUGAAUGAAGCAGCAUCCAUCUCCAUUGCUGAGAAACACGAAAAAUGGAUGGCUGAGCAUGGACGCAGUUACAAGGACGAGCUAGAAAAGGACAUGCGCUUUAAGAUAUUCAAGCAAAACCUUGAAUACAUUGACAAAGUCAAUAAUAAUAAUAAUAGUAAUGAAGGGAUCAAUCGGACGUACAAGUUAGGUACCAAUCAAUUUUCAGACUUAACCAAUGCGGAGUUUCGUGCUUCAUAUGCCGGAAACAGCAUGGCAAUAACUAGCCAGCACUCAUCCUUGAAGUACCAAAACCUGACCCCAAGUUCCAACUAGCAUGGACUGGAGGGAGAAAGGAGCUGUUACUUCUAUUAAGAACCAAGGCGGAUGUGGUAAUCUAUUAUUAUUGAUUAACUAGUAAUGUGAAUAAAAUCAUUGUGAUUUUAUGUGUGUGUUUAUAUAGAUGUUUCAAUUUAGGAUCCUGAAUUUGUUAAAUUAUACACACACUUAUAUAAAUACUAAUUAGAUUUUAUUUAAGGUAAAUUACACAUCGUCACAUGGGCUUGUUGUCCUAGUGAUUUUUAAGUAAUUUUCUCUAAGUGGAUAUUCUGAUUUGAAUCUUAGGGAUGUAGGGACUAAAACAAUUGAUUUGGGAUUUUUGAAAACUCGUUCGUCUACUUGAAGAUUCCUUUGUUCAGUGAUCCAAUACCCAUAACCCAUUGUUUAUCAACUGCAUCACUUUUCCACCUUAAAUUUAACAAACUUUAACUACUGGUAAUGUCACCGAAGAAAAGUGUACAUUUAACAUGCCAACAUGACAUACAUAAAAUAGAUGUGAUUGCAGCGGUCCACCCAGUGAUUUAAAAAAUAUCAAUUUUCCGUCCAUCGUAAAAUUAGACUUCAAGCUGCAAAGGUAAACUUCAGUUUACCGUUAUUUUUAUCAGCAUUUAAUUUUUGACUGAAUAUCACUGAUCUAGAACAUAUAUAUAUGCAGCAGCUUGUUGGGCAUUUUCAGGAGUGGCGGCGGUGGAAGGGAUCACUCAGAUAAGUAGUGGUAAUCUGAUUCGACUUUCGGAGCAGCAAUUACUAGACUGCUCUUCAAAUGGUAACUCGGGUUGUGUCGAAGGCAAGAGUGAUAUUGCUUUUAAAUAUAUUAUAAAAAACCAGGGUAUUGCCACGGAAGCUGAUUAUCCAUACCAUCAAGUCCAAGGAUCCUGUGGCCGUAAGCAUGCAACUGCCGCUAAAAUCAGUAGUUAUGAAGUUUUACCCUCGGGUGAUGAGCAGGCUUUACUUAAGGCUGUGAGCAUGCAGCCAGUAUCCAUUAAUAUUGAAGGCACCGGACCAGACUUCAAGAAUUACAAAGGAGGUAUUUUUAAUGGAGUAUGUGGGACUCAGUUGGAUCAUGCUGUCACUAUUAUUGGGUUUGGAACAACUGAAGAUGGAACCAAAUACUGGUUAAUUAAGAAUUCAUGGGGGGACACUUGGGGUGAGGCUGGCUACAUGAGGAUUCAAAGAGAUGAAGGUCUCUGCGGCAUUGGCACUCAGGCUGCCUAUCCAAUUACAUGACUGUAGCUACUAGCUAGUGUUAGUUUCAUAUUAUAUUAUACAAUAAUGAUAGAAGUCACAAACUUUCUACAAAUUAAUCAAAUUGAUAAAAUUACAAUGCUAAUUAAUUAGAAUACAAUUGAUUCAAUAAAUACACUUACAUUGAGAAAUAAAAUUGCUUAAUAUAUAGAAAUUUUAGGUGGAAAAAGGCAGUGGCGGAUCUAGCUUGGGACCAGUGGGGACUUAAGUCCCCACUGAAAAAAAAAAAUCUUUUACUAACUAAUUUGAUUUGCCAAACAUUUCUAAUAAAAUUUUCCUAAGCCCCCACUAAUUUAUAUUUAAGUCCCUAAUACAUAAUUAUACUUAAAUUCUCACACUCUAAGUUUUUAAAACAAAUAAAAAGAGAUGGGCUUUGCAAACUAAAAUCAAGCCCAUAAAUAUUAAUAUUAAUCAAAUUUUUAAACAGCUCACAAACCCAUUAAUAAUAUUUUAUUACUCUUUACCUUCUCCAAUUCCACUACCUCAUGCACCCAUAUGCAAAUCCCUAAAUCAUCUUCUUGUUUCGACAUCUCCAAAAGCAAAACAGUAGUGACAGUGGAAAGUGAUUUUCAUUUAUUCCUCCAAAUUUCAAACAACCCCUCAUCUCUUCAUUCAAUAAAAUUAAGGUACAAGUUAACACUUUAUUUACUUUUUAUUUUAUUGUUUAUAAAUCAUAUAUAAUUAUUUGUUGAAUUGAUGUUAUAGUUGUUUUUCUUCCCCCUUAGUUAGUGUAUCAUCUGGCUAUUGGUAUAUUUGAAAAAUACAAUGUGAUUGAGUGUAGAUUCCAUGAAAAAGAACACAUAUUAUUAGGUUAAGAAAAUAACAAUUGCAAUUAAGCAUUUGCUUGCUUAGCUUUAAUGUCUUGUACUGUUUGUUAAUUAAUUUAUAGCAUUAAUAUAAUUAUAUAAUAGGGGAAUAUGCUAAAAGUGCUACUAGCCUAAGUAAAGUACUCAAUAUUCAUAAUCUUUAUUUAUAUUUUGAAAUAGGUAUGGAAAGGUUUUACAAAAGAAAGGAGCCACCACUUUUAGAAAAAAAAUGAUGAUGCUUCAAAACAAAAAGACAAUAGUGGUUCAAAGAAAAAUGAUGAUUGUGGUAAAAAAUAAAAGAAUGAUGAUGCUGGAACUAUGAGAGAAAAUGAUGUGGAGGUGAAUUUAUUGAAUCUUCCUAUGGAUCCUGGGUUACGACAUCCAAUUUCUUACUACAAUGUAAAUAUCCAAGAUCAAGUUCGAAGACAAUAUUUGCAAAAUGGCCCUUGUCAACCAAAAACUCACAAUUUUCCUCUUAGGCAUUUUGGAAAACAAUCUCGGAGAUUCAAUUCAGCUUGGUUUGAUAAAUAUGGAAAUUGGUUAGAGUAUAGCAUUGCAAAGGAUGCUGCAUUUUGUAUUUGUUGUUAUCUUUUCAAGUCAGAAAUUGGAGAACAAGCCGGUGGUGAAUCUUUUACUAAACAUGGGUUUACAAAUUGGAAAAAACCAGAAAGAUUGAGAGUUCAUGUUGGUUGCUCUAAUAGUGUCCACAAUGAUGCUUGGUGUUCUUGUAAAGAUUUAAUGAAGCAAGAGCAACAUAUUCAGACAAUGUAUUCCAAACAUUACGCUUACAAGCAUCAGUUGAUUGUGUCAGAUUUCUUUUACGACAAGGACUUGCAUUUCGCGGCCAUGAUGAAUCUGAAGAGUCAAGUAACCGACGUAACUUUCUAGAACUUCUCAAAUUUUUGACUGAUCAUAAUGAGGAUAUAAAAGCUGUUACAUUAGAAAAUGCCCCAUCAUUUUUUAAAGUGACAUGUCCUGAUACUCAAAAAGACAUUUUUAGUGCUUGUGCAAUUGAGACCACUAAUGCCAUUAUAAGAGAGAUGGGUGAUGCAUUUUUUUCUAUUUUGGUUGAUGAAUCUCGCGACGUAUCAAUAAAAGAGUAAAUGGUUGUUGUCUUACGAUAUGUAAACAUUAGUGGACAAGUGGUUGAACGUUUUAUAGGCGUUGAGCAAGUUGUUAGUACUCCUGCUCAAUCACUUAAGGAAGCUAUUGAUAGACUUUUUUCUAGACACGGGUUGAGUAUGUCUAGGUUGCGAGGGCAAAGUUAUGAUGGAGCAAGUAAUAUGCAAGGAGAAUUUAAUGGCCUUAAAACCAUAAUUUUGAGAGAGAAUGAGUGUGCUUAUUACAUUCAUCGUUUUGCUCAUCAACUUCAGUUAGCUCUUAUUGUUGUUGCAAAAAAUCAUAUUCAAAUUGAAUCUUUUUUUGCUAUAAUUUCCAAUGUGGUGAAUGUUGUUGGAGCCUCAUCUAAACGUUGUGAUGGUCUUAGAGAGAAACAUGCUGAGGAAGUUGUUAAAGCACUUAUCGUGUUGAAUUGUAUUAUGUAGUCUUAGAUAUGCAACUUCAAGAGCUUAAUUCUCGUUUUAAUGAGACAAACACUGAGUUGCUUCUUUGCUUAGCAUGUUUAUCUCCAAAUGAUUUAUUUUCAACUUUCAACAAGCAGAAGAUAUUACGGCUAGCCCAGUUGUAUCCAAAUGAGUUCUCUACAAUUGAUAUAAUGGCACUUGGGACUCAACUUGAUACAUAUAUUUUGGAUAUGCGCACUAGUGGUGAGUUUUCAGAAUUAAAGGAUAUUGGUGAUCUUGCAAAGCGGAUGGUCGAGACUAAGAGACAUAAUGUAUAUCCAUUAGUUUACUUGUUAAUAACAUUAGCAUUGACUUUACCUAUUUCCACUGCGAGUGUAGAGAGAGCAUUUUCAGCCAUGAACAUUUUAAAGAAUCGGUUACGAAGCCGAAUGGGAGAGCAAUAAAUGAAUGAUAGUUUAGUUGUUUACAUAGAAAAAGACUUAUUUAAUAAUAUUGAUAAUGAAGUUGUAAUGCAACGUUAUCAAUGUAUGAAAACUCGUAAAGGACAAUUGUAAACAUAUAUUGAAGUAUGAUAAAUCUUUUAAAUUUAUAUAUUUAUUAUUUUUUAAAUUUUUUUUAUCGCCGUUGAGUAAGCCCCUAGUCAAUCAAUAUGCUGUCUCCGCCCCUGGAAAAAGGUAAUUACAGAAAAUUCAUAUCAUAUUUACAAUAUGAUUCUUUGUAGAUUCCAAACUCCAAGUUGCAACAUCAAUGUGUUGGAUUAGAAUUUAAAGCUGAGCUUAUUUUUUAUUAAGCAAAGAAUCAAUGGUCAAUAUUUAUUUUGUGUUUUUAUUUUUAUUUAUAUUACCCGACAACCAGCGAUUUAGUACUAAAGAAACUCAGUUCAGCAUUAAAUCCUUAUUAUAAUGUGUUAUAUGUGUAUCCUUGUCAAAGUGUGUUAUGUGUAGUAGGAUAAAUCUUCAUAUUUCAUGCACCCAAAUUGACUGGACAAGAAUUUGCACUUUUAUUUAUUUAUUUUUGAAAAACUAUAAGUUGAAAGAAGAAACUUGUGAGUGUCUUGAAUUUGCAUGAAUACUAAUUACAAUAACAAUUAGAAAUUCCCUACAACUUUCCUAGACAGAUCGGUUGAGGCAUUUAUUGUCCACAUGUUUGGGCUUAGAACGACUUAUGACUGAAUUUGCUUCCAAUGUGUUAAAGAAAACCUUUCCAUUCACAAGGACGCUUCAGAAAUAAUGUGAUUUUCCAUCUUAUUAACAAUAGGUGAUUGCCUAAUUUUUAAUACAUUAAAUACCCAACAAAUACAGAGAUAAGUUUGAUUUUCUUUUAAUUUCACUCUUGAUACCUCUGUGGACCCUUGAAUACGUCAACAUAUUAAAACUAUUACUAAAAGAAAACAAAUAUAAUGUCCAUGUCACUGUAAAGUACAACGUGUUUAUUUUAAUUAAUUUUGUAUAUACAAAUUCUUGUGCCAUUUUUGUUAGUAAAAGUAAUGUGACAAUAUUAUAUAUAUAUAUAAAUUAAUUAUCAUCGCAUGUCUCAUGUUUGGAGGGAAUUAAAAAAUAUAUUUAUAAGACGAGACAUGUGUCGAUGGUGUAACUGGCUAUAUCAGUUCGAACAAAAGGUUAUUUCCCUAGUGUUAUUAUUGUCAAAUAAAAUGUAUUUUUUAUGGGAAUAAAAUAAUCAUUUUAGUUCUUUCUUGAAUGAAAUAUGCAGGAAAAAUUUAGGUAGAUAUUUUAUAACGCGAAUAACAUGUUAAUAUGUAUUACGUGUUUGUGUGUAUGAACACACAAAUAUAUGUAGAAUUGAAUUAUAUUAAAUUCAACACUUCAGCUCUGUGAAUUCAUAGAUUCCCCAUUUCAUUAAUUAGUUGGCGUAGACAUUCAUUUUUAUACGGCAUUUUGAGUCAAAGUAAGCAAGCGCCAAGACGUCAACAAAAGUUUCAGAGACGGAAGAAGUCAUCAAAAAUUUCAAAGUUGAUUCAUCAUUUUAUAAUUUGAAAAGUCGUCACAAUCUUGCUACUAUAUUAAAACAACUCUUAAGGGUCCCUAAGGCUUAUACCUUACAUAAUCUGUGGGGUAGCAAGUAAAAUCGUCCUACAUUCAUCACCUUGUUGUGCUGAAUCUUUGAAGAGAGAAACAAAAAAAGGGGGAAAAAUUGAAGCUUCUGCAAAAUGUGUUCAACUUUUUCACUUGCAGCUAAGCCAUCCAUCGGAGAGAGCAGAGGCAAAAUAUGGAGUCUACAAGUUAUCAAUUCAGCGGCAAGAUCUGAAUUGAACAUAAACAUCCCCCGAGAGAAAAACUCGAUCAUUUUCCCCAGAUUAUCAACACAAGGCAUGCUUCAGAGUGAUGUACAUAUAUGCGAAAUCGCGGAAAGACAGUCACUGGCUAACAAUUUAUCAGACAAGGGAGAUGCCUUCAGAAGCAAGCCACAGCUCGAUGCUAUGUUUCUUGAUGAAGCUUAUGAGAGAUGCAGGAAAAUUUGCGCAGAAUAUGCAAAGACUUAUUACUUGGGUACUUUUAAUUUCCAUCCAUUUUGAUGAAGCUUAAUAGCACAUGAACUUCUAUUGCGUUUGUUCUUCUAAAUGAUUCUAGUUGUGUUGUUGAUGCAGGAACUUUGUUGCUGACAAAAGAGAGACAGAAAGCCAUAUGGGCGGUUUACGGUAAGGAAUAGCUACUAAAUUUACGUAAAUUUAUCAUAGAAAUGAUAUAAUGAGCGAAGUUGCGUAGGUUAUAGUGAACAACAUUACCACGCUUGUUUGGUUAAUCUAUAACUUCAAAACUGUUACAGAAUCGUGUCAUGUGUGCUACUAAUUGUUGCAAUGCACAUGUAAGUGUUAAAUAUUCAACUCAAUGCUUUGUUGUCACAGCUUGGUGCAAGAGAACUGAUGAGCUAGUUGAUGGCCCGAAUGCAUUUUGUGUAAGCCCUGCUGCUCUUGAUAGAUGGGAAGAGAGACUACAAGAUAUCUUCAAUGGGCACCCUAAUGACAUUCUUGAUGCUGCACUUACUGAUACUGUUUCCAAGUUCAAUUUACACAUCAAGGUACGUCAAAUUUUUUAUUUCAGAAAUGGAUUUUUAUUUUAUUUUUUAAAUUUUUUUUUGGCUUUAGGCUUAUGUCUAUGAAUCUGAUGUGGUGUUUCAAUUUUUUUAUGAUGAAUAGCCUUUUCGGGACAUGAUUAAGGGCAUGAGAAUGGACACAGAGAAAUGCAGAUAUGCAAACUUCCAAGAGCUCUAUCUUUACUGCUACUAUGCAGGUGGCACUGUAGGCCUAAUGAGUGUUCCGGUGAUGGGGAUGGAUCCGGAUUCUUCAGCUUCUGCUCAAAGGAUAUACAAUGCAGCUCUCUACUUAGGUAUCGGAAAUCAACUUACAAACAUUCUCAGAGAUGUGGGCGAAGAGUAAGUUUCGUAAACUUCUACUUGGCAGCUAGUGGUUGCGUUUAAAUACAUCCUUACCAACAAUUAAAAUCUUUACUUUCAGUGCUUCAAGAGGGAGAAUUUAUCUUCCUCAAGACGAGCUCGCGAAAUUUGGAUUACGCGACGAGGACAUUUUCUCAAGAAAGGUCAGUGAUGAAUGGAGAGAGUUCAUGAAAGAGCAAAUUACAAGAGCAAGAUAUUUCUACAAGCUAGCAGAAGAGGGGGCUUCAGAGCUUGACAAGGCUAGCCGAUGGCCGGUAACUAAAAAAAUACUUUGAAAUAAAUUAAGAAUUAAUCCAUCUAAUAAAGAUUCACAAUUGCAACAAAAACAAAACUCAAGUCUGAAGAUUAUUGACGGUGAAUGAUAUGCAUGCAGGUGUGGACAGUCUUGAUAUUGUAUCAAAAAAUCUUGGAUGCCAUACAAGAUAAUGACUAUGACAACUUGACAAAGAGAGCCUAUGUUGGAAACAUUAAAAAGCUUUUCGUGGUGCGACAGGCAUACUAUAGAGCUCAAUCAAUUUCAACAGCUACGGAUUAAUUAUUUUAUUCCAAUUUUUCUUACACAUUGUUUUAAGAAGAUAAUACAGGAAAACCUAGGGAUUUAGCAUAUUAUUAGAAGCACCAAUACUCAUAUCAUGUUGAGGUAGCCAUACAAGCAUUCAAUCAGCAGACCAUGUAUUAAAUUUGUAAUACGUCCAUUGUAGUAAGAAAUAUAUUGAUUUAUACACAUUUGCAAUAGCUUGUUAUGAUGCAAUCUAGAUUUAAUAUCCAAACUCUUGGCAAUUUAGGAUAAUUACAUUAGAUUCAGCAAUUUCAUUGCCAAAAUAAAGGGACAUUUGAAUAUGGUUAUAAAGGUGAGAUACUAAAAUUACAUCCUUACGAAGUUAAUAAUAAAAAAUGAUGAAUAACCUUCAUAUGGUACGUUGGUUAACUUUGUAAACAUAACAUUAUCGCAGGAGAAUAUCUUCUUGAUUGCCAAAAGAGUUCACUGUGAAUUUGUGAUUUCACCGUGUCACCCCCAACACAGUUUUUCAAUUUGUUCCCACAGAUUCAACAUCCCCAUCCUCAAAUAAAUGAAUAACUCUUACGAGAUUUGUAAUCGAUAUCCACUAGAAUUACUACCCUCAAAAUUAUGAACGGAUCAGAUAAUAGAAUUAGGGGUUAAUUUACCAAAGGAAUCUAAGCUUUUUUAGGUUUAAAGAAAGACAAAAUAAUUUGAACAAUAUAAGGCUUGCAAUAUUUGAAGGCACAACAGAUAAUGAUUGAAAAAAUUAUAGAAACACCCAUUAUCAGAAAAAUGUUUUUAACUCAUCGUCCCUCUACAGAUCCCCAACUCCCAGCAUCAUCCUUCUACAGAAGAAAGAACCAAAAAGAAACAAAAAAAUUGAAAGCAAGAGGAGAAGGAAAAAAAAAGGCCAUAUUGUUUGUUUGCAGGAAAUGGUACAUACGUCGAUUCGAGCAAUGCCGGCUCCACUGCUUCCUCUUGAAACUCAAUCAUAAUCCAAGUAAACAAUCAAUUCAAGGAAGCCUCACCCGUCCAUUUUACAUGAUUUUGCCUUCCGUCCACCACCAUUAUCAUAAGCAUAAAUCUUAAAUUUGAGAAACGCCCUGAACACAUACACCAGCUGAUAGGCAGUGGCUGCUGGUAACAUACCAAGUUUGUGCCCGCUUGCAUUAUAGAAAGUAAUCAGGUGUUCUCCGGGUCACAUCUGGCUCUCCUCUUCUUGGG